GGGGGCGACAGGCUUCGACGGGGGUUUACGAGAGCCAAGUCGCAUGCCGUGGCGCUGUCACCACGUAAAAAGGCAGCACAAAACACAAACGCCAACAACGAACUGGCACUCGCAGCUUAAUAAAGCUGUGCGCUUCUCUGAGAGAGUCUGCGGCUCAGAAUCAAGCGUCGACAAGCGGACUGGCCUGAAGUGGCUUCCCUCGAACUUCUCCUGAUUUCGAGAAUGAAAAGGUAAGCUAAGCAUGUAGAAGCUUGGAAGCAGUGCUUCCGGACGCGGGUUCGAUUCCCGCCGCCUCCACCA
rnacentral:tmRNA from 1 species